rnacentral:rRNA from 1 species
GUGAGGAAUAUUGGACAAUGGGCGCAAGCCUGAUCCAGCCAUGCCGCGUGCAGGAAGACGCAUCUAUGGUGUGUAAACUGCUUUUGUACGGGAAGAAACACUCCCUCGUGAGGGAGCUUGACGGUACCGUAAGAAUAAGGAUCGGCUAACUCCGUGCCAGCAGCCGCGGUAAUACGGAGGAUCCAAGCGUUAUCCGGAAUCAUUGGGUUUAAAGGGUCCGUAGGCGGUUUAAUAAGUCAGUGGUGAAAGCCCAUCGCUCAACGAUGGAACGGCCAUUGAUACUGUUAGACUUGAAUUACAAGGAAGUAACUAGAAUAUGUAGUGUAGCGGUGAAAUGCUUAGAUAUUACAUGGAAUACCAAUUGCGAAGGCAGGUUACUACUUGUGGAUUGACGCUGAUGGACGAAAGCGUGGGGAGCGAACAGGAUUAGAAACCCGGGGUAGUCC